rnacentral:tRNA from 1 species
GGUUGUGGCUCAGUGGUAAAGCGCUUACCUAGCAUGUUUGAGGCACUGGAUUCAAUCCUCAGCACCA